rnacentral:rRNA from 1 species
GAUGAACGCUGGCGGCGUGCCUAAUACAUGCAAGUCGAGCGAACGGACGAUAAGCUUGCUUGUCUGAUGUUAGCGGCGGACGGGUGAGUAACACGUGUAUAAUCUACCUAUAAGACUGGGAUAACUUCGGGAAACCGGAGCUAAUACGGUAUAAUAUUUUGAACCGCAUGGGUCAAAAGUGAAAGACGGUCUUGCUGUCACUUAUAGAUGGAUCCGCGCUGCAUUAGCUAGUUGUUAAGGUAAAGGCUUACCAAGGCAACGAUGCAUAGCCGACCUGAGGGGGUGAUCGGCCACACUGGAACGGAGCCACGGUCCAGGGUACUAAGGGAGGGCGCAGUAGGGAACCGGACGCAAUGGGGGAGAAUCUGACGGAGCAAGGCGGAGUGAGUGAUGACGGUCUUCGGAUCGUAAAAAUCUGUUAUUAGGUAAGAACCUCUGUGUACGUAACUGUGCACAUAUUGACGGUACUUAAUCAGAAAGCCACGGCUAACUACGUG